AGAGUUUGAUCCUGGCUCAGAUUGAACGCUGGCGGCAGGCCUAACACAUGCAAGUCGAGCGGAAACGAGUUAUCUGAACCUUCGGGGAACGAUAACGGCGUCGAGCGGCGGACGGGUGAGUAAUGCCUAGGAAAUUGCCCUGAUGUGGGGGAUAACCAUUGGAAACGAUGGCUAAUACCGCAUGAUGCCUACGGGCCAAAGAGGGGGACCUUCGGGCCUCUCGCGUCAGGAUAUGCCUAGGUGGGAUUAGCUAGUUGGUGAGGUAAGGGCUCACCAAGGCGACGAUCCCUAGCUGGUCUGAGAGGAUGAUCAGCCACACUGGAACUGAGACACGGUCCAGACUCCUACGGGAGGCAGCAGUGGGGAAUAUUGCACAAUGGGCGCAAGCCUGAUGCAGCCAUGCCGCGUGUGUGAAGAAGGCCUUCGGGUUGUAAAGCACUUUCAGUCGUGAGGAAGGUAGUGUAGUUAAUAGCUGCAUUAUUGACGUAGCGACAGAGAGACCGACGCAC
rnacentral:rRNA from 1 species